rnacentral:rRNA from 1 species
CUCGCAAGAGUGUGGCGAACGGGUGAGUAACGCGUAGGAAUCUGCCUCAAUCCGGGAAAUACCCUCGCGAAAGCGGGGCUAAUGUCCCAUGUGCUCGCAAGAGUAAAGCUCCGGCGGAUUGAGAGGAGCCUGCGUCCUAUCAGCUUGUUGGUGAGGUAAAAGCUCACCAAGGCUAUGACGGGUAGGAGGUCUGAGAGGAUGACCUCCCACAAUGGCACUGAGACACGGGCCAUACACC